GAUGAACGCUGGCGGCGUGCCUAAUACAUGCAAGUCGAGCGAACAGACGAGGAGCUUGCUCCUCUGACGUUAGCGGCGGACGGGUGAGUAACACGUGGAUAACCUACCUAUAAGACUGGGAUAACUUCGGAAACCGGAGCUAAUACCGGAUAAUAUAUUGAACCGCAUGGUUCAAUAGUGAAAGACGGUUUUGCUGUCACUUAUAGAUGGAUCCGCGCCGCAUUAGCUAGUUGGUAAGGUAACGGCUUACCAAGGCAACGAUGCGUAGCCGACCUGAGAGGGUGAUCGGCCACACUGGAACUGAGACACGGUCCAGACUCCUACGGGAGGCAGCAGUAGGGAAUCUUCCGCAAUGGGCGAAAGCCUGACGGAGCAACGCCGCGUGAGUGAUGAAGGUCUUCGGAUCGUAAAACUCUGUUAUUAGGGAAGAACAAAUGUGUAAGUAACUAUGCACGUCUUGACGGUACCUAAUCAGAAAGCCACGGCUAACUACGUG
rnacentral:rRNA from 1 species